AGUUAUUUAUUUGUUAAAUUCUUAUAUCCAUCCAUUCACUCUGUGCUUUUAGUCAUUAGCAGUAAAGCUUAAUGACUAAGCUAAACAUUUACCUUUUUAGCUCCAGGAAAAAGCACCGGAACGACCCUGAAGUUCCUGCAGCCAUUCUGAAUGAAUUCACUCUGAAGCUGAGUGUGAAACAAAACACAAGGCAGUACAUUGAUAGGAAUUCGACUGCGUGAAGCUUUAAAGACCAAAAUCGCCUGGGGAUGAGAUGAUCCUGAGGGUCUACGUGGAGUGGAACCGGCCCACUGUACCCACAGUGAAGGCCAGGGAGAGGCAUGACCUGGUUCGUGUGUACGGAAGAUCCAGAUGCAAGAAAAGAGUGCAGAGAGCCAGGCUGAUCCAGACUGUUAAGGCUGAAGCUGUAUGUACCUGGGUAGGAGUGAUGCCAACUGGGAAAAACACAGCCAGAUCCCAGAUGGGAACUAGUGCAGAAAAAAGUCUGAGCUCACACUAGAAAUCUGUCAAAGCCGAGCUUCUGUGGUGCAAGAAAGAGGCCAGCGUAUAUACGUGCCAUAGGUGAAAACUAGGCCUUUGCAUACAGUACAGUACACCCAGACACACGUCCUGACAUGCUAGUAUUAUACAGACCUGCAAAAAAAAAACCCUCUCUUAAGGUGUAUUCAUUUUUUUUGCAGACAUUGCAAGUACAAAAAAACCACAACUAAGGUUUAUCUCUGCAAAGUUGUAUCUACCUUCAUCACUCACAUCUGUGUAACACUUCGUAAAAAGCUCCUUUACAUAGAAAAUAAAUGCUGAUGGUUGACUGAAAGCUUUCCGGUUUUGCUUGAAAAACUGAUACAGAUAAACAUAAACUCUGAACUAACUAAAUGAACAGAAUUGUGCAUGAUACAAAUGAUAAAUCACACUUGUUAUUGGCGAUAACUUUAAAGGUCUGAAAGGUAUAGAUUUUUAUGGAUGUCCCUUGUUGAAAAUCAACAGAUUAGCCCAAAAGUGACCAAGAAUAAAAAUAAAUAAAACUCACUUGAGGAUGGGUGAAUGGUCAGAGCGCCAGUCAGAGCACUUGUGUAUCUAUUUUGCGUGUGUGUGUGUCUGGGUGUUUCUGUAUAUUAGAUGUUUGGUGAAGAUAAUGCAUCACCAGUGAAAGUGAGUGAAAACGGAUCAUUGAGGCUUUAUAAAAGGCUGACCUAUUGACUCACUGUGGGUGGGGCUUUACAGACAGAGGCUGCUAUGGAAACUAUGGCGUGUACAGUUAUACUGAGUUGUGUGUGAAACAAGUAUUUGUAGUAAGUGUGGUCUAUUCUGAUAAAGAGAUGGUAUGAUAGAGCAACAUUCUGUAAGAGUAUGGGCAGAAAUCCAUAUACCUUACAUAAUAUAACAUUAUAAAGUAAUAAAGUAAUAAUAAGAAUUAUAUAUAUAUAUA